rnacentral:rRNA from 1 species
ACGAACGCUGGCGGCGUGCCUAAUACAUGCAAGUCGAACGCUUCUUUUUCCACCGGAGCUUGCUCCACCGGAAAAAGAGGAGUGGCGAACGGGUGAGUAACACGUGGGUAACCUGCCCAUCAGAAGGGGAUAACACUUGGAAACAGGUGCUAAUACCGUAUAACAAUCGAAACCGCAUGGUUUUGAUUUGAAAGGCGCUUUCGGGUGUCGCUGAUGGAUGGACCCGCGGUGCAUUAGCUAGUUGGUGAGGUAACGGCUCACCAAGGCGACGAUGCAUAGCCGACCUGAGAGGGUGAUCGGCCACAUUGGGACUGAGACACGGCCCAAACUCCUACGGGAGGCAGCAGUAGGGAAUCUUCGGCAAUGGACGAAAGUCUGACCGAGCAACGCCGCGUGAGUGAAGAAGGUUUUCGGAUCGUAAAACUCUGUUGUUAGAGAAGAACAAGGAUGAGAGUAACUGUUCAUCCCUUGACGGUAUCUAACCAGAAAGCCACGGCUAACUACGUGCCAGCAGCCGCGGUAAUACGUAGGUGGCAAGCGUUGUCCGGAUUUAUUGGGCGUAAAGCGAGCGCAGGCGGUUUCUUAAGUCUGAUGUGAAAGCCCCCGGCUCAACCGGGGAGGGUCAUUGGAAACUGGGAGACUUGAGUGCAGAAGAGGAGAGUGGAAUUCCAUGUGUAGCGGUGAAAUGCGUAGAUAUAUGGAGGAACACCAGUGGCGAAGGCGGCUCUCUGGUCUGUAACUGACGCUGAGGCUCGAAAGCGUGGGGAGCAAACAGGAUUAGAUACCCUGGUAGUCCUAGCCGUAAACGAUGAAUACUAGGUGUGGGGGAGUAAUCUCUUCCGUGCCGCAGCUAACGCAUUAAGCACUCCGCCUGGGGAGUACGACCGCAAGGUUGAAACUCAAAGGAAUUGACGGGGGCCCGCACAAGCGGUGGAGCAUGUGGUUUAAUUCGAAGCAACGCGAAGAACCUUACCAGGUCUUGACAUCCUUUGACCACUCUAGAGAUAGAGCUUCCCCUUCGGGGGCAAAGUGACAGGUGGUGCAUGGUUGUCGUCAGCUCGUGUCGUGAGAUGUUGGGUUAAGUCCCGCAACGAGCGCAACCCUUAUUGUUAGUUGCCAUCAUUUAGUUGGGCACUCUAGCAAGACUGCCGGUGACAAACCGGAGGAAGGUGGGGAUGACGUCAAAUCAUCAUGCCCCUUAUGACCUGGGCUACACACGUGCUACAAUGGGAAGUACAACGAGUCGCAAAGUCGCGAGGCUAAGCUAAUCUCUUAAAGCUUCUCUCAGUUCGGAUUGUAGGCUGCAACUCGCCUACAUGAAGCCGGAAUCGCUAGUAAUCGCGGAUCAGCACGCCGCGGUGAAUACGUUCCCGGGCCUUGUACACACCGCCCGUCACACCACGAGAGUUUGUAACACCCGAAGUCGGUGAGGUAACCUUUUGGAGCCAGCCGCCUAAGGUGGGAUAGAUGAUUGGGGUG